UACGUAGGUGGCAAGCGUUGUUCGGAAUUACUGGGCGUAAAGCGCGCGUAGGCGGAUCUGCAAGUCGGGGGUGAAAUCCCGAGGCUCAACCUCGGAACUGCCUUCGAUACUGCGGGUCUCGAGUCCGGGAGAGGUGAGUGGAAUUCCUAGUGUAGAGGUGAAAUUCGUAGAUAUCGGGAGGAACAUCAGUGGCGAAGGCGGCUACCUGCCCAAUGACUGACGACUCAGG
rnacentral:rRNA from 1 species